GAACAAACGCUGGCGGCGUGUCUUAAGCAUGCAAGUUGAGCGGCAAGGAGGAGAGAUCCUCCCUAGAGCAGCGGACUGGUGAGUAACGCGUGGGUAAUCUAUCUUAGGCAUGGGGAUAGUCACUAGAAAUAGUGGGUAAUACCGAAUAAGUUCCAUAAGGGGAGGACUUAUGGAAGAAAGGGUGCUACGGCACUGGCCUUAGGUGAGCUCGCGUCCCAUUAGCUAGUUGGUGAGGUAAAGGCCCACCAAGGCGAUGAUGGGUAGCCGGCCUGAGAGGGUGUACGGCCACACUGGGACUGAGAUACGGCCCAGACUCCUACGGGAGGCAGCAGUCGAGAAUAGUCUACAAUGGACGGAAGUCUGAUAGUGCGACGCCGCGUGAACGAAGAAUCCCUUCGGGGUGUAAAGUUCUUUUAUAUGUGAGCAGUGCCCUUUAUAUUAAUAGUAUAGAGGGAGGGAUUUAAGCGUAUGAAUAAGCAACGGCUAACUCCGUGCCAGCAGCCGCGGUAACACGGGGGUUGCAAGCGUUGUCCGGAAUUACUAGGCGUAAAGUGCAGGUAGGCGGAUAGAUAAGUUUAAGGUUAAAGGCUACGGCUUACCCGUAGUAAGGCGUUAGAUACUGUUUAUCUGGAAUGCGGUUGAGGGAGACAGAAUUCCUGGUGUAGCGGUGGAAUGCGCAGAGAUCAGGAGGAAUACCGAAGGCGAAGGCAGUCUUCUAAGCCGAUAUUGACGCUAAACUGCGAAGGUGUGGGGAUCAAACAGGAUUAGAUACCCUGGUAGUCCACACAGUAAACGAUAAUCACUAGGUGUUGGGUUCGUAUAGGACUCGGUGCCGGAGCUAACGCGAUAAGUGAUUCGCCUGGGGAGUACGAUCGCAAGGUUGAAACUCAAAGGAAUUGACGGGGGCCCGCACAAGCGGUGGAGCAUGUGGUUUAAUUCGACGCAACGCGAAGAACCUUACCCGGUCUUGACAUCUGCAGAAUUCUUCAGAGAUGGAGGAGUGCCGGCUUGCCGGAGCUGCAAGACAGGUGCUGCAUGGCUGUCGUCAGCUCGUGUCGUGAGAUGUUGGGUUAAGUCCCGCAACGAGCGCAACCCCUGCUUUCAGUUGCCAUCAUUAAGUUGGGGACUCUGGAAGGACCGCUGCGGUAACAACGCAGAGGAAGAUGGGGACGAGGUCAAGUCAUCAUGGUCCUUAUGACCGGGGCUACACACGUGCUACAAUGGUAGUUACAGAGGGGAGCGAAGCAGUGAUGUGGAGCGAAUCUCAGAAAAGCUACCCAAGUUCGGAUUGAGGUCUGCAACUCGACCUCAUGAAGCCGGAAUCGCUAGUAAUCGCGCAACAUCAUGGUGCGGUGAAUACGUUCCCGGGCCU
rnacentral:rRNA from 1 species